ACCAUACAAGUACUUUUCAUGUAUAAACCUAUCAUAAUAAUUUUAAAAAUUGAUGCAAUGAUGAAUAUGAGAAAGAAUGAUUUGAACUUGAAACUAAUACUCUGUCUGUGGUCGGUUGUUUUUUUUCUCUCUCUCUUUCUCUCGGUAUGAUAUAUGAAUGAAGUAUAAAAAACUAACGAUUCAAUAAUAAUAUCAUUAUCAAUUAACAAAAUGGAACCACAAAUUGGACAUCAAUCAAUCGAACACCGCCUACAAUAAAUUGUACAAUAAUGAGAAAUGCAACACCGAAUCCAUUACGUUCGUUUGUGGGAUUUAACCGGACAACAACAACAACAACAACAACACCUUCAUUAUCACGUGAUGAAUCGCAAACAUUGUUAAAUUUUUCAUUGGAAGAUGCAUUCGAUUAUAUUGAAUCUUAUAUAGUUGAUUCCGGAAUCGAUUUUAAUGUUUUUCAAUUUAGUCAACGUCCAGUAUUUGUGACAUUUGUACGAUUAGCUAAAUCAAAUUUGAAAAGAAUUAUCGAUCCGAUGUGGAAACAAACUUUAAAAUUAAUGAUUACAUAUUGAUUCGAAGGAAACAUUUAAAAAAUCAACCUUGGAUUGGUCCAUUUAAAAUCGUGGAUAUAUAAGCUAUUUGAAAUUAUUGGUCAUAAUCAGAAAAAGAUUAUCGUGCAUGCUAAUCAAAUGAAAUCGUAUAUCGGUGAUUGUUCUGAUUCUGAUCUGUACCAGCUCGUGGAAGACCAAGAGAGUCCAUCUGAAAAGGGGGUGUAAUGAUAUUUAUGAAUGUACUCUCUUGCUCAUAGUUUAAAAAUAUGUUCUUUGAGCUCACUCCAAUUUUUAUAUAUUAUGAUCAUUGAAUGAUUUGCCUUGAUUGAAGUAUAUUCAUAUUUUCUGUCUUUGUGUUUAAUUGAAAUAAAAAUUAUUCCGUUUAUGAAAUAAACUUGCUUUAUUUUCAUGUCGUGCUAAUUAAUCUCUCGGUACUCUAUCCAACUUUAUUAUAGAACAUAAAAGGUCAAUUGCAAAAAUUUAUUUCUCAUUGGACUCAUUUUCAAAAUUAAAAAUCUUGGUCGACCAAGACAAUUUUAGCCUCUGUGAUGAUUUAUUGAAUACAAGGAAUCAUUUCAUCAUCAAGAUAUCAGAUCACAAACAAAGGACAUGCCAUGUUUGUAUAAAAAAACCAGAGUAUCAAUGGGUCUUGUACAACAAAGGUUUCUGUUUAAAUGAUUUUAAAUCAUAUUAUAGUCAAUUAUAAAAUAAAGACACUGCAAAUUGAUGUAUUUUUAAUUUAUAAAAUGAUUUCUAUGAGAAAAACCAAAUAUAUCAAUUGUAUUUGAUGAAAUAACAAUAAUAUCCAAUACAAUAUGCAAUUUUUGUUGUCUGUGUGCCCAUGAUCCUAUAUAUAAGAUGAAAGUUCAAAGUUCAAUUUCUCGAAAUAUAAAAAUUUUAAAAAUGAAAUGUCAUAUUUGUUUUUAUCUCAUGACUUAUUUUCCUGUUUGCAAAUGUGUAUCUGAUGUUUCACAAAUUUUUACCAGUCACGCCAACACUUCAUCAAUAUUUUUUGCCGCCAGUGAAUCAAUAGCUUCUCGGUGUUUUUCGAAUAUUUCACCAAUUUCUUUUUUUCGCCUAUGAUAAAAAUUUUUUAAGGCCUCGCGAUUUUCUCGGCCCUGUGUGCUGGUAUGUAUUAUUAUACAAUUAAUACAAUUAAAUUUAGAAGAAAAUUUAGAUAUAAAUGUGUAUGUAAAUAAUUGGGGGGCAAAUUUAUAAGUGAUUGUCCACUAUCCUCCCCAACAAAUAGGUUUUAUAAGCGAGGGGGAGGCAAAUUUAUAAGUGAUUAUGCGCAAACCACUAUCCACCCCCAACACUGACUAUUUUUUAAAUUACUUUAAGCGCAAGUGUAAAUGUGUAUAUGAAUAAUUGGGGGGCAAAUUUAUAAGUGAUUGUCCACUAUCCUCCCCAACAAAUAGAUUUUAUAAGCAAGGGGGAGGCAAAUUUAUAAGUGAUUAUGCGCAAACCACUAUCCACCCCCAACACUGACUAUUUUUUAUAUUAACCCAGGCGGCCGCGAUGGGAUUUGAACCGACGUCGAAUGUGUAUAUGCGUGUAUAUGUGUUAAUGUGUGUAAAUGGGGGAGGCAAAUUUAUAAAUGAUGGGGUAAUUUUCCCCCAGACCAUUAUCCUCCCCCAUAAUAUAGAACGUAAUUAUGGUCGUAUAUAACAAUCAUAUUUUACGACAUUACAGAAAUACUUCGCUUAACGCUGCCCCGAUUAGCGCUGUUUCGAUAUAACGCUGUGCAAUUACAUUACAUUGCAAUACAUUGUUACAUUGUAUAUGAAGAGUAAAAAUGCAUUAUGUAAAUUAUGCAAAAAUAACCCCGCUUUGCGCUGUUGUUUCGCUUUACGCUCAAUAUUUUUGGAACGUAACCCCGCGUUAAGCGUUGUUUUACUGUAUAUUUGUAUUAUAUCACUGUAUAUAUGUAGCAUUACUGGCUGCGCAUGCUCCUGCCUAUUUCUACUUUCCCCUAUUUCGACCGAGAAUGUCGGUGAGAGAGAACGAGCACGUUUUUCAGCCGAAAAUUCCGAGUCAGGAUACUAAUAACCUUUUUACUUUCUUUUCUGUGUAUACACGAACACUAACACACACAACUCGACAACAAAUAAAAAUCCGAUUUUCACAAACGAUCCCACGACAUAUUUAUUAUUAAAUAUUGUUCGUUUUGCAUUCAAUUGAUUCUCACUACAACAAUGGUUCAUCAUUAUUAUCAAUUUGUAGAAACCAUAAAGGUGAUAGUCCAAUUGUAUCAGUAAAAAAGAUGAAUAGCUGUUCGCUAUUAUUAGGCAUUGAUAAUCUUUUGGUUUGAUUUCCAUUAUUACGUUAUUUUGCCUAUUUUCAAUCAUACAACAUUCUCUUAUUGUAACAUUGAAGAAAUCUUUUCCAAACGUUUUGCGGUUCUGUCUCUGUGCAUUUUUAGUUUAUGGAGGAUUUUGUUUUUGUGGUUGGGUCGUUUUUGGUCCUCAUCUCAAAUUUCGUACGCUAAGCUAACAUUGGAAUGUUUGUUUUCACUUAUGAACGGUGAUGAUAUGUUUGCUACAUUUUUUUCCAUUGAUGUGAAAAAUCAUUAAAUUGAAAUUCGAUUGAUGAUUAUGUUCGAGAUCAAUUCGGCGGUUCCAUUGUUCAUCAGCAUCCAAUUCAAGAAUAGUUUGACCAUGUUCAACACAUGAUAUCAGAUUAGGCUUAGGACAUGGUCUGAACUAUUUCCUAUUGAAUUUGAUGCUGAUUGAAUCUUUGGAAUCAAUGAAGCGAUCGAAAACAUAAUUAUAAGUCGAAGAUUCAUGGGAUGGAACACAUACUUGAAAAUGAUCAUGGAUCGCCGGCGAACAAUUGGGAAAUUGAAUCUCGAACCACGAAUAGAAUUUGGACAUUGUCUUGGAACAUGGACCGCGAACAUUGGAUCUAUUUCAAACGGGACAAUUAACGUUGUAUGGCGCAAUUGGGAUGUGAAAUAUAGAUGUAUUUUAUUAUUUCUAAUAUUUUAAUAAAUUAAUAUAUCAAUAAAAUCAAUUAAAUUUCAA